GCUCCCAAGUCGUGGGCACCAGAUAAGCAGUUUCUUAUAAUCUGUAAUCCCAGACAGCAACCAGGAUGGCAGCUUCACAGGCUCUUUGGAAAAGUUUUUGGAAGUCCUUCUGAUACAAGGAAUGGCAGUGAAGACCGUACCCCCAGUCCCUUUCCUGGCCUAAUCUACAUUCUACCAGUUGUUGACUCUAUAAAACUCUUACACCAGUUGGCUUCCCAGAUGAUGCUAGAGGUAAAGAACCUUCCUGCCAAUGCGGGAGAUGUAAGAGACACAGGUUCUAUCCCUGCGUCAGGAAUAUCACCUGGAAGAAGGCAUGGCAACCCACUCCAGUAUUCUUGCCUGGAGAAUCC
rnacentral:lncRNA from 1 species